AGUGAACGCUGGCGGUAGGCCUAACACAUGCAAGUCUAACGGCAGCACAGUAAGAGCUUGCUCUUAUGGGUGGCGAGUGGCGGCCGGGUGAGGAAUACAUCGGAAUCUACUUUUUCGUGGGGGGUAACGAAGGGAAACUUACGCUAAUACCGCAUACUACCUACGGCUGAAACCAGGGAAUCUUCGGACCUUCCGCGAGCCAUUGAGCCGAUGUCGGAUUAGCUAGUAGGCGGGGUAAACGCCCUCCAAGGCGACGAUCCGUAGCUGGUCUGAGAGGAUGAUAAGGCACACUGGAACUGAGACACGGUUCAGACUCCUACGGGACGGUACAGUGAGGAAUAUUGGCCAGUGGGCGCAGACCUGAUCCAGCCAUACCGCGUAGGUGAAGAGGCCCUCCGGGUUGUAAAACCCUUUUGUUGGGACAGAAACUCAGUCGGCUAAUACCCCGCUGUUCUGACGGUACCCAAAGAAUAAGCACCGGCUAACUUCGUG
rnacentral:rRNA from 1 species